ensembl:rRNA 5S_rRNA 5S ribosomal RNA
GUCUACAGCCAUACCAUCCUGAACACACUCAAUUUUGUCUGAUCUCAAAAGCUAAGCAGGGUCGGGCCAGAUUAGUACUUAGAUGGGCGAAAUCAACCCAAAAUACAUGCACAUUAGCAC